rnacentral:rRNA from 1 species
UACGUAGGGUGCGAGCGUUGCCCGGAUUUAUUAGGCGUAAAGGGCGCGUAGGCGGUCACGCACGUCCGUUGUGAAAUCGCUCGGCUCAACUGGGCGGGGUCAGCGGAUACGGCGUGGCUGGAGCAAGCUAGGGGGCAAUGGAAUUCCCGGUGUAGUGGUGGAAUGCGCAGAUAUCGGGAGGAACACCAGUGGCGAAGGCGGUUGCCUGGAGCUUUGCUGACGCUGAUGCGCGAAAGCGUGGGGAGCGAUCCGG